GACGUAGGGCGCGAGCGUUGUCCGGAUUUAUUGGGCGUAAAGCGUCCGCAGGUGGCACUUCAAGUCUGUCGUCAAAGACUGGGGCUUAACCCUGGAAAGGCGGUGGAAACUGAAGCGCUAGAGUGCGGUAGGGGUAGAGGGAAUUCCCGGUGUAGCGGUGGAAUGCGCAGAUAUCAGGAGGAACACCCAUAGCGAAGGCAGCUUGCUGGGACGUUACUGACGCUAAGGCGCGAAAGCGUGGGGAGCGAACAGG
rnacentral:rRNA from 1 species